UACAUACUCCCUCCGUCCGGAAAUACUUGUCGAAGAAUUUGAUGAAAAUGGAUGCAUCUAGAACAAGAAUACAUCUAGAUACAUCAAUCUCCCUGACAAGUAUUUCCGAGCGGAGGGAGUACUAG
rfam:Triticum aestivum genome assembly, contig: Triticum_aestivum_CS42_TGACv1_scaffold_051573_1BS